rnacentral:rRNA from 1 species
UGGGGAAUUUUGGACAAUGGGCGAAAGCCUGAUCCAGCAAUGCCGCGUGUGUGAAGAAGGCCUUCGGGUUGUAAAGCACUUUUGUCCGGAAAGAAAUCCUUGGCUCUAAUACAGUCGGGGGAUGACGGUACCGGAAGAAUAAGCACCGGCUAACUACGUGCCAGCAGCCGCGGUAAUACGUAGGGUGCAAGCGUUAAUCGGAAUUACUGGGCGUAAAGCGUGCGCAGGCGGUUUGCUAAGACCGAUGUGAAAUCCCCGGGCUCAACCUGGGAACUGCAUUGGUGACUGGCAGGCUAGAGUAUGGCAGAGGGGGGUAGAAUUCCACGUGUAGCAGUGAAAUGCGUAGAGAUGUGGAGGAAUACCGAUGGCGAAGGCAGCCCCCUGGGCCAAUACUGACGCUCAUGCACGAAAGCGUGGGGAGCAAACAGGAUUAGAUACCCUGGUAGUCCACGCCCUAAAACGAUGUCAACUAGUUGUUGGGGAUUCAUUUUCCUUAGUAACGUAGCUAACGCGUGAAGUUGACCGCCUGGGGAGUACGGUCGCAAGAUUAAAACUCAAAUGAAUUG